AUCGGGAAAAAAAAAAAGGAGCAACAGCGGAACCGCAAAUGAGUGCUUGCAAAACCCUCUCGUGUCUGUCACUCUCUUCUCCUCCGUCCUUGAAACGCACACACCCUCCCUUUCUCUCUCUCUCUUCCCUCAUCCACCCAACUCUCACGCGCAGAUGUUACACGUCCGAACUAAACGCUUCUUCGAUCGAAGAAUCAGAAUCCCAAUCUGCGAGUGUUCAACACUUCCUCACGAGCCCCGAAGGAGUGUCAACGCUCAUGAAGAUGGAACGAAAGCCUCUUCUCCAUCAACCGCAGCGUCGAUGGUUCCCUUACCUCGACACCUUCCGCUGCCGAAACGACUGCGUUUUGACCAGCGCCGAGGUCAUCGACGUCCUCGCUCCUUGCAUCUCUGAGGUUCGGAAGCAAAGGUUCGGACGCGUGAUUAGGAACCGGAGCUACUCGGUUUGUCUGGUCGUCGAAGGACUCUGCGAUUUCGGCAAUGUCUCCGCCGCGUUUCGAUCCGCCGACGCACUCGGCGUUCAGUCCGUUCACGUCGUGUCUUGUGACACCAACAAAAGGUGUUGACAUUGUUGAGGUAUAAAGAUAAUCGCCAUGUAAGCAUGGGUGCAGAGAAAUGGUUGGACAUUGAACUGUGGGACUCUACAAAGGAGUGCUUCAAAAUGUUGAAAUCACGUGGUUAUCGAAUUGCCACAACUCAUGUGGGAAUGGAUGCGGUUUCUAUUCAUGACUUAGACUGGUCCUGCCCAACAGCAAUUGUAGUCGGGAAUGAAAAUAGGUUAUUUCCUUCAUUUUUGUGAUGCUCAAUGCUUAUUUUUUGCAUACCAUUGGAUAUAGAAAAGUCCAUGUAAUGCCUUUCAAGAUACAAGUGUGAGCUCAAUGUAGCUGUCGCCUGUCAUUUUUUCUUGUUUACUGAGUACUGACUUAGUAGUCAGGGAAUCACCAACCAUUUUGACAUUUAAAUAAAUGUUAUGUUCCUUGUAACAUAGGUAUUCUGCUCAGGUUUUUUAUGUAUUCAACAGUGGACGUGUUCUUGUUGCAGGGGUAUUAGUGAUGAAGCUUUGGAGUUGUCAGAUUUGCACUGCUGUAUACCAAUGACAGGGAUGGUGGACUCUUUUAAUGUUUCAGUUGCUGCAGGAAUCCUCAUGCACCAUGCUGUUUGUGAUAGAAUAUCUCGUAUGGGUCGUCAUGGAGACCUGACAGUAGAAGAAUGCCAAAUUCUACUUGCAGAAUUUUCACUGCGCCAUAGUAGGAGUGCGAUUAGUAUUGUAGAAGAUUAUGGAAAGCGUAAAGCAGCAGUAUUGACCUAACAGCAGUAACAGGUCAAACUUCUGAUUGUAUGCUUGCUUAUUCUUACAAGGAGACAAACAAGAGACUGGAUUGUCUCUGAUUGAUUGAUUCGUACAAACUAGGUGCUACAUCGCAUUAUCUGAAGCAUGGCGGACAAAGCUUGUUGAUGACAAUGGAGACCUUGCCAACUACCAAGCCUCUGUUUAGAUUAUAUAAUAUUUCGUCAAGGAAGCGCUUACUAGCCCAAUUUACUUAGUAAUGGGGAACGAUGCCAUCAAAAGUGCAUUUGUAUUUUCUUUAUGUCAAAUUUUCGAGCAUUACAGAUCUGAAAAGGACAAUGAUUUUUAGAUUCCUAUUUCUAAGCAUUUUGAUAUUUAGUAGCUUGAUAUUAGGAAGUUAUGAAUGCAGCGAAGGCUCAUC